rnacentral:rRNA from 1 species
UUGAGAGAGCAUAGAAUGACGGAUGGCCGUGAAUGUGUGAAUGUGUCCCUUUCCUCGCCCCACGUUAUGUUGGCGGGCGAUCGACCGUAGCUCAGUGCGAUCAGCACUAAGGAACAAUGAAUGAACUCGGAAGCAAAGGUCCCUUGGCGUGCGCAGGGAGCCCAAUGCGUCGGAGAUUCCUCGGAAUCAAAUGACUCUCGGCAAUGGAUAUCUCGGCUCUUGCAUCGAUGAAGAACGUAGUGAAAUGCGAUACUUGGUGUGAAUUGCAGAAUCUCGUGAACCAUUGAGUCUUUGAACGCAAGUUGUGCCCGAGGCCCUGUGGUCGAGGGCACGCCUGCUUGGGGGUCAUGGCAUCGUCGCCUUUGCUCCAUGCGUUGUUGGUGCCGAGUGCGGAAAUUGGCCCCGUGUGCCCUCGGGCACAGUCGGUUAAAGAGUGGGAAGUCGGCAAUCGUCGGGCACGACGGGCGUUGGUCGCCGUGGGCGGGAACAGAACGUCGUCCUCGUCGUUUUGAGAUGAGUUCUCAAGAGACCCUGUGCGAUUGUGGCGCCGGAUGAAAGAGCCGUGCCCAUCAAUCAACUU